AUUGAACGCUGGCGGCAGGCCUAACACAUGCCAGUCGAGCGGAGGAAGGGAGCUUGCUCCUGGAUUCAGCGGCGGACUGGUGAGUAAUGCCUAGGAAUCUGCCUGGUAGUGGGGGAUAACGUCCGGAAACGGGCGCUAAUACCGCAUACGUCCUGCGGGAGAAAGUGAGGGAUCUUCGGACCUCACGCUAUCAGAUGAGCCUAGGUCGGAUUAGCUAGGUGGUGGGGUAAAGGCCUACCAAGGCGACGAUGCGUAACUGGUCUGAGAGGAUGAUUACUCAGACUGGAUGUGAGACACGGCCGACACUCCGACGGGAGGCAGCAGUGGGGAAUAUUGGACGAUGGGCGAAUGCCUGAUACAGCAAUGCCGGGUGUGUGAAGAAGGUGUUCGGACUGUAAAGCACUUUAAGUUGGGAGGAAGUGAAGCAAGUUAAUCACUUGAUGUUUUGACGUUACCAACAGAAGAAGCACCGGCUAACUUCGUG
rnacentral:rRNA from 1 species